UAUAUUCAAUUAAAAUAUUUUUGCUGUACCC
rnacentral:piRNA from 1 species